GACGAACGCUGGCGGCGUGCUUAACACAUGCAAGUCGAACGGAAAGGCCCCUUUGGGGGUCCUCGAGUGGCGAACGGGUGAGUAACACGUGGGUAACCUGCCCUUGACUUCGGGAUAACUUCAGGAAACUGGGGCUAAUACCGGAUAGGAAUCCUUGCUGCAUGGUGGGGGUUGGAAAGCUUCGGCGGUUUUGGAUGGACUCGCGGCUUAUCAGCUUGUUGGUGGGGUAGUGGCUUACCAAGGCUUUGACGGGUAGCCGGCCUGAGAGGGCGACCGGCCACAUUGGGACUGAGAUACGGCCCAGACUCCUACGGGAGGCAGCAGUGGGGAAUAUUGCACAAUGGGCGGAAGCCUGAUGCAGCAACGCCGCGUGCGGGAUGACGGCCUUCGGGUUGUAAACCGCUUUCAGCAGGGGCGAAGCUUGUGGUGACGGUACCUGCAGAAGAAGCACCGGCUAACUACGUG
rnacentral:rRNA from 1 species